GCCACUCCCACAGACGUCUACGACCGCACCUACAUACAUAUUUUUGCAUGUUUACAAUUCUAAUUUAAAACAGCCAAUCGACGCUUAAAUGUAAUUGUUACCAAGAACCGGAUUGGCUGUUCAAAAUUAGAAUUGUAAGCAUGCAAAAAUAUGUAGGUGCGGUCGUAGACAUUUGUGAGAGUGGC